AUUGAACGCUGGCGGCAUGCUUUACACAUGCAAGUCGAACGGCAGCGAAGAGAAGCUUGCUUCUCUGUCGGCGAGUGGCGAACGGGUGAGUAUAGCAUCGGAACGUGCCAAGUAGUGGGGGAUAACCAAGCGAAAGUUUGGCUAAUACCGCAUAAGCUCUAAGGAGGAAAGUAGGGGACCGUAAGGCCUUACGCUAUUUGAUCGGCCGAUGUCGGAUUAGCUAGUUGGUGAGGUAAUGGCUCACCAAGGCGAUGAUCCGUAGCGGGUCUGAGAGGACGAUCCGCCACACUGGGACCGAGACACGGCCCAGACUCCUACGGGAGGCAGCAGUGGGGAAUUUUGGACAAUGGGGGGAACCCUGAUCCAGCCAUGCCGCGUGUAUGAAGAAGGCCUUAGGGUUGUAAAGUACUUUUGUUAGGGAAGAAAAGCUAGUUUUUAAUAAAGACUAGUGAUGACGGUACCUAAAGAAUAAGCACCGGCUAACUACGUGCCAGCAGCCGCGGUAAUACGUAGGGUGCGAGCGUUAAUCGGAAUUAUUGGGCGUAAAGCGAGUGCAGACGGUUGUUUAAGCCAGAUGUGAAAUCCCCGAGCUUAACUUGGGACGUGCAUUUGGAACUGGAUAACUAGAGUGUGUCAGAGGGAGGUAGAAUUCCACAUGUAGCGGUGGAAUGCGUAGAGAUGUGGAGGAAUACCGACGGCGAAGGCAGCCUCCUGGGAUAACACUGACGUUGAGGCUCGAAAGCGUGGGGAGCAAACAGG
rnacentral:rRNA from 1 species